rnacentral:rRNA from 1 species
UGGGUAAUCUUUUGAAACUUCAUCGUGAUGGGGAUAGAGCAUUGCAAUUAUUGCUCUUCAACGAGGAAUCCCUAGUAAGCACGAGUCAUCAGCUCAUGCUGAUUACGUCCCUGCCCUUUGUACACACCGCCCGUCGCUACUACCGAUUGAAUGGCUUAGUGAGACCCUCGGAUCGAUAAGUGGAAACCUUCACGGGUAUCCUUUUGUUGAGAAGUUGGUCAAACUUGGUCAUUUAGAGGAAGUAAAAGUCGUAACAAGGUAGCCGUAGGUGAACCUGCGGAAGGAUCAUU